rnacentral:rRNA from 1 species
CAGUAGCCGCGUAAUACAGAGGGUGCGAGCGUUAAUCGGAUUUACUGGGCGUAAAGCGUGCGUAGGCGGCUUUUUAAGUCGGAUGUGAAAUCCCUGAGCUUAACUUAGGAAUUGCAUUCGAUACUGGGAAGCUAGAGUAUGGGAGAGGAUGGUAGAAUUCCAGGUGUAGCGGUGAAAUGCGUAGAGAUCUGGAGGAAUACCGAUGGCGAAGGCAGCCAUCUGGCCUAAUACUGACGCUGAGGUACGAAAGCAUGGGGAGCAAACAGGAUUAGAUACCCCAGUAGUCCCUGUCUCUUAUACA